AACAAGGCGUACCUGCGGACCUGCGGAGGGAUCAUUACACAAUACAAUAUGAAGGCUGUCCGCAGCUGGAGUAUUUUAUUACCCUUGUCUUUUGCGCACUUGUUGUUUCCUGGGCGGGUUCGCUCGCCACCAGGACCACCAAAUAAACCUUUUUUAUGCAGUUGCAAUCAGCGUCAGUACAAACAAUGUAAAUCAUUUACAACUUUCAACAAUGGAUCU
rnacentral:misc_RNA from 1 species